rnacentral:lncRNA from 1 species
ACAAUGAAAAUUUGUUUUACUAUGUACAUCUGGUACAACUUUAUUGAUAAUAGAAAUUCUAGAACUAAGUAGAUGACCCAAUCUACUAUGCCAGAGAUCAAAGGAAUGGUUGGUCACAGCAUUGACUGCAGACUUUGGUAUACUGGAGGCUAUAUUUUGAAGUUGUUGAUGAGGUGUUUGAAGUUGUAAGUGAUAGAGACCACCAUCAAUUUUCCCUACCCCAAUCGUCUUCCAAGACAAAAGAUCCUGAAUGAAGCAGUAAGCAAACAUGAUAAUUACACAACAAUGAUGGAUUGAAAUUAAUCUACUGACAGAUAUCAAAUUAAAAGUGAAGCAUGGAACACAAAGGACAUUUGUCAGAAUAAGGUCACUUGAUAGCUGAACCGCUCCUACAUGUGUGACUGCGGCAACAUAGCCAUUGGGUAAUCUGACAGUUCUAUUAAUAGUAGCUGUGAUAGUGGUGAGUUGUUGGACAGAGCAGACAAUAUGAUCUGUUGCCCCAGUAUCAAUUAUCCAAGCAUUUUCUAUGUAUGUAUGAACUGAACAUACUAAGCUACUACCUGAGAAAGCUAUAGCAGAAGGCAUCAUUGAAGAGUGAGUUGAUGCAACUUGCAGAUCUCCAACAUGAUUUACA